rnacentral:rRNA from 1 species
GACAGAGGUCUCGAGCGUAGGCGGAAUCACUGGGCUUAAAGCGUGUGUAGGCGGACUUCUAAGUGCCUUGUGAAAUCCCACGGCUCAACCGUGGAACUGCUGGGCAUACUGGUUGUCUUGGGCCAUCUAGGGGCUACUGGAACAAACGUGGAGCGGUGAAAUGCGUAGAUAUCAAGCGGAACACCAGUGGCGAAGGCGAGUCCCUGGACAACUCCUGACACUGAGGCACGAAAGCUAGGGGAGCAAACAGG